rnacentral:rRNA from 1 species
UAGGGAAUCUUCCACAAUGGACGCAAGUCUGAUGGAGCAACGCCGCGUGAGUGAAGAAGGUUUUCGGAUCGUAAAGCUCUGUUGUUGGUGAAGAAGGAUAGAGGUAGUAACUGGCCUUUAUUUGACGGUAAUCAACCAGAAAGUCACGGCUAACUACGUGCCAGCAGCCGCGGUAAUACGUAGGUGGCAAGCGUUGUCCGGAUUUAUUGGGCGUAAAGCGAGCGCAGGCGGAAGAAUAAGUCUGAUGUGAAAGCCCUCGGCUUAACCGAGGAACUGCAUCGGAAACUGUUUUUCUUGAGUGCAGAAGAGGCGAGUGGAAUUCCAUGUGUAGCGGUGGAAUGCGUAGAUAUAUGGAAGAACACCAGUGGCGAAGGCGACUCUCUGGUCUGCAACUGACGCUGAGGCUCGAAAGCAUGGGUAGCGAACAGG